GACAAGGAUGGCUCUAGGAAAGGUGUUUCAGUACGAGCGGCUGCUUUAACUAUAUUUUCCUGAAGCGUUGCACGCCCAAUUUGUGUCCUGCGAGUACUGGCUUCCAUUACAGACGCUUUUGUUUUGCAUUAACAAUUGCUCUUUAUUCGCGUCCUGUACUUGGCGCCGUUUUGCUUCUCUACUCCAAACUUCGACAGAGUGGUCCAUCUGCUUAAAACACUCAAACUGCCCUGUUCUACAAACAUACCCUCGAUGUGGCUCAACCUUUUCAAAACUGAAAGUGAAUGACCACGAAUGGAGAGGGUCCGUUUGGGACAGGGAAUUAAAGUUUGGCACGGCAUUCUCCACGCCGCUGUUAAAAUGCUGGGUAUUCAAAGAAGAGAAGACAUUGCAUUAAAGUUGCUUGCGAUGCUGCAUCGAUUCGUCCUCCUUAAUACAAGUUCUGACUAGUUCUGAACGAGAGUCAAGGAAGAAGACAGGAGAAGCGUGCCUCCAGAAAGCCUGAAGAGACCGCUGUCCAUAAAAAGGUGCUGAAUCAGAGUUGUGCUUAAAAGUAGACAGCCUUCUGGAAUUACACCUCCCUAAACGUGCACGUUUAAGCAGAUAUUAUUUGACCGGCCCUCUGAUCUUGAUAACUAAGAGGAAUUUUCGAAAAUUGUGAUUAAAAUUUGAAGUGUUAUUGAAAAGUUUUGUUUUUUUUCUAUUCCCCAUGAGAGUAACAUCUAAUUGCAUUGCAUUUCACAGAGGCAUAGCCUACGAGCAACUUAAUAAGAAACCAUGCAGUUAAAAUACAGUAAAUUGUUUUAAUGACUAUUUAUAUGAAAAUAUGUUUCAAUGCUGAUGUCCACUAUAAGAUUGAACUAAUGAUAAACUCUAGGUCCCCGGCAUUAUUAGAAUUAUUUAAGAAUAAAUCAUUCUAAUAAUGUCAGGGACUCAGAGUUUAUCAUUAAUACCUGUGACACCCUUGUUUCGUGGGACUAUAUUUAUAUAACUAAUCGUGGGUUUUUGUUUGUCGCGAUGUUCUGGCAUAUAUAAACAUUUUUAAAUAAAGGUUUCUUUCAAAUAAGUUAAAUAAAGGUUUUUAGAAGUCUAUACCUA